CGGUUUUAAUCGUGAAAAAAAAAAACAAUUAUAAAUCCUGAAGGAUCAAUUAAUUGGUAUACAGUUUAAUUAAAAAAAUAAAAAAAUAAAUAAAUAAAAUAAUGUGCAUUCGCGUAAAGUUAGACCAAAUACAUUUUUUCCAUCCUCCUAUAUACCUAUCGCUAUGAAGGUAUAAAAAAGAUAGGUUAAGAGUUCACAUAGGUAAUAUCAACAAAUAAGUAAAUAUGUUCAUUAUUGGUUCAUUAUUUAUCUUUCAAGAGAUAAUGUUAUGUAUUGAAAUUGUUGGAAAAUUAUUUCAUGUUUUAGCUGGAAAACGACAUGGAGAAUUAUAUGCAAUACAAGAUAAUGAGCUCCAUCAAAUGAAUUCGAAUGAAACCAAACUGUUUACCAUCCAAAUUCGAUUGUCGGGCAGAUAGAAAACGAAAAUUCACUCAUAGUGAACCUCGGCCUGCAUUUGUGAAACGGCAAAGACUCACUAUUAUCAAGGAAAUUGAAGAGACGACUAAAAAUGAGAUGUGUCGUAUUAUUAUACCUUUGCCAUCUUGUAGUCAAGAUGUCCAGCCACUUGAAAAUAGGUGUAGUAAUGACAAAGCUAUCCAAGUAGCUCCAGCACAGGAACACAAAGGCAAGGCAAGUGUGUAUUGCCACAUCACCCCUUAAUAUAUCUGAAGCAAGUAUAAGUAAACAAUCAGAACCAGCAAAAAAAAAAACUGUUGUUCCUGAGGACAAAUUUGACAGUGAUGAGUCAAAUGCACCAGCAACAGAAGGAUCAACUGUUGACUAUGAGUUAUCUCUCUAUAUCUCCACUCCAUCAAAGACUUGUGCACUUCAGACUAUAGCUCUCAAGAAGACUAAAAAGUUGAAAAAAUGAAUGUGUUAACAACUUUAUCUAAAGUGAAAAAUAAACAACGUUUAUAUAUUGGUCUUCCACAAGAAUUAUGUUUCAUAAUAGGCUUGAUUGAGAAACAUACAAAUGUUUCUGAACAAAAUAUUAUAUUAUGUCUGAUGAGAAUAACAUUAAAUAGAACAUUCUCUCAAUUGGCUGAUGAUUUCGAUUUAUCUGUAAGUUAAGCAAGCAAUAUAUUUUUCAACAAACUCCCAGAAAUUGCAAAUGUAAUAUCACCCCUUGUUAGACUAUAAAAAAACAAUACAAUAAAUAUAUAUGCAGGAAGGAUAAUUGAUGUCAACUUGGUGGAAAAUAGAAAGUUUUUAGAUAGUUUGCCACCUACAAAACUCUUUAAUUAAAUAAGUAAUCCUUACUUAUAAAUAGGAAGUUUUGUAAGUAUUUUCACUCUUCAUUCAAAAACUACUGAACAGAUUUUAAUAAGACUUUUAUGCUGGUCUUCUAUGGCUAGCAACUCAUUAUUAUUUUGAUUCUGUUUUCCACAAAUGUGCUAAAUAUGGGCUUAUAUAUAUGAAAAGGAAUAAAUAUUAAUGUUAUGUAACCUUUGUACCUGUAUGUUAAGAAUAAUUUUUAAUAAAACAUAAUUUAAAUUGAAA